UUCAUCAGUCCACAGCAGCGAGUGGAAGUGAAAGACAGCCCUGGCGAGUCUUUUCUCCCUCUCGCUCUCUCUCUCUCUCUCUCUCUCUCUCUCUCUCUCUCUCUUUCUUUCUUUCUCUCUUUCUUUCUGUCUGUUUUUUUCCCCUUCUUCGUUACUCGCUGGAGCCUGCCUAUGAUUGUUUCCAGUUUCCUCAGAUUGUUUCUGGUUUAGCGAGUGUGCUGGGGCAGCCAGGCCGAGAGCCACAGACAUUUAGGAGAGCACGUAACUACCACUGCACUGUGGAAGGACUUUUGAUGGCAAUGCAAACUCAUGCCCUUGAUCCUGAUCCUCCCAUCUUUUGGAGGCUCACCAGUGCAACCAGCGGUUCAGCCGACAUUCAAACACCCCCCUUUGGUAUACGUCUAAAACAUCCUCAUGCAAAACAGCUGUGGGAACCUCAAUAAAUGAAAGCUAGAUUCUCAACCGCACCCGACUCAGUCCUAUUUAUUUAGUUCGUUUUUUUGUGGGGUAGGGGUAUUCGGAAGUGCUUUGGCCUACAGUCGUUGUAACCACGUAGCCUAUACGUAGCAAUAUGGGCCUACGCGACCAACGUUUUUCGAGGUUGGUUGUAAUGGUUUGACCAAUCGGUGUUAAGGAGAGUAAGGCCGUCCGCAAACCUAUUGUACGUUCAAUGGUAAAAAGGUUGAGUACUGAUACUUAGGCUACACUGUACAUGUCCUCUUUAUCUAAAAUACAAGAGGCUAUUGGAAUCACCUAAAUGCAGUAUGAAUUUCCUGUUCAAGCAGCAUCCCUUAAGCAUCUAGACUACCUUCUCUCGAAACUAAAAAAGUUGCACAAAGGAUCACAAUGUUACAAUUCAAUAUAAUUCGAACCUUUAAGCACAUGUAUACUUUGUUACAGUCAACUUUGUAUGCAGUGUAGUCAUACAUUAUAAUAGAAACUUAAUAGAAAGUGGGGCGUCGAGGUCAACUCCACUAAACGUUCUUGAUUGUAUUAUACUGCAUACGUAAUUCUAAUUGUAUGAUGAGUGCAAUACAAAAUAUGUUUUUCUCUUUUAGUGCAGAUAACCUUCAGGCCUAUUUGAGCAACUUGUAUUUCUCGUCUUAGUUGUUAUAAGACUCUACUAAACAGCCCCAUUGGGUUGAACUGAUAUAGUGCACAUAUUUCUUGAAUAUCUCUAUUAAUAGUAUUCUGUUCACCUACAUUUAAGAACAGAAACAUCCGGAUUUGUGAUCAUGUUUUAUUUAUCGCUUGCCUCAUAAAACGUUAGAAGGAAUCUUGCGUUUCCCAAAAGCGUUUUAUAUGCAAUUUUACACUUUUCAUCAAUUUCAUUUAAUGCAAUCCUGAAAAGCAAAAUCAACUAAAUGAUGCAUUUGUACAAAAGUUUUGCAUAAGAACAUGUAAGAAUGAUGCAUGUUGUUUUAGGGUUAUACUGCAGACUAAUGUUAACGUUGUAAAAUUGUUUUAUAACGUUUGAUAUGGAGCAUCCUGAGCUUGAUAGAGGUCAUACCAAAAUAAUCACCUAUUUCACAUACAUAAAAUGUAAAACAUGUAUCACUUAGAAGCACUUUAAGCCUUUGUGUCUAUGAAUACUGACCAAUCGGAGAUUAACAAUCAGCGCACGAUGUGACCCACAGAGAAAAAAAAAAUCAUUUAUCGAUAUUUAAAAAAAACGAAUCACGAAUCAGUAUUUUCUUUUAGUUUUAACUAUUUCUCUGGAAGGACCAGAAACCACAUUCGCUAUUUUAAAAGGCUUGACAGCGACAUGGACAUGAAUAUUUAAAGUAGACAUUUCUCGAGAUUAUAUUUCUCGCCCCGUUAAUCAGAAGCUCUGGUCAACCGAACCUUUCGUCUCCCCGCGCAACACAAAACCAGCAGAAUUUUUAACAUGGGCAGAGGAUGGAAUUCUCUCGUCGCACUUAUUCUGAAGAUAGCGUCACUCCGUAAGCAUAACCCAUCACCUGUUGUUAAGGGACAUCGUGAUUGUUCUUUUGCAUGUGAAUUCUUAGCCCCAAGUGUAAUUGGUAAAUAUUCAACAGUUGUCUUGUCCUGAGUUUAGACAUUAAAAUAAACUUUUCUGGUGAUAAAAAAUCAAAAUAAACUUUUCUGUCGUUAAUAUCCUACGUGGCUGUUUAAAGCCUGCAUUUUUAAUAAUGUAAAUCAUAUGUAGUCAUGUAUCAGCAGUCCUGUAUCAUAAUAGCAUGCACACACACUUCCACACUAUGCUUUGUGCCAAGACGAGGAACACGGAUAAUUCUGCAAUUGAACUUUAGCAGAACAUCAGAGGCAAACGGCUAGUAGUUAGAUUGCUGUGGGACUUGUAGCUUGCUUGGCAGUGUUACACUUUGAAGCCUCCCUUUGACAAAGCUUCAGUAGUUGCCACAGACAUUCAUUAACCGUUCCACACUACAUGGGUCUAAUGAAUAGCUGGAAUUGAUCAGGGAGCCUCAGUCAGAUUCCUACCAGGGGAGCUGUAGACAAAUCCCCCUCAAUGCACAAAAAAACAGAGAAAGAAAAUGCUAGAAGGUCGGCACAGGUAAGAUUACACUGACCACAGCGACAUGGGGCGAUGGGAGAAAGAGCAGCGUGAGCAGCCUGGGAGACCCCUUCCUCCAGCUUUCACCCACCCCUCCUGUC
ensembl:lncRNA